rnacentral:tRNA from 1 species
GCCGGGGUGGUGAAACUGGUAGACGCGCUGGACUCAAAAUCCAGUGGGCUCAAAACCCGUGUCGGUUCGAGUCCGACCCUCGGCA